rnacentral:lncRNA from 1 species
UUGAAUCUUUCACAUGUAGGCCCAGAUUUUUUGGCCUAGGUAGUCUUCUAUCCUUAUGCUGAUUCUGUGUCUUUCAGAAGUAUGCUUCUUAUGAUCCUUCCACUCGCUUCAUGUCGUUGAUUCUGUCUGUCACCACCAGAACCUCAUAAAAGUUUCUGCUGACGUGUCACACUAGUGUUGACCUGGAAUUUGUGAAAAGUCCAAUGCCAUAUAUUUUCUCUUCAUAAAUCAUGGCACUCUACUUCUGCUUGCCUUAUGAAAUCCACCCAAGUUUGGAGAAAUAUUCUAUGCUGACCACUUUGACCUACUAUAGCAGGUUAAAGUGGUCACAAUAGAAAAUUUUGUCAAAGUUGAGUGACUUUAGUGAAAUUAAGAGGACUAAACUUUGACAACCUUUUCAAUUAUGACCCACUUUAACCUGCUAUAGUAGGUCAAAUUUGUCGAUAUAGAAAGAAAUUUCAAACUUGGGUAGGUUUGAUGAGCUAAAACUGAAAUGGAAUUGUUAAACUGCAAAAAAAUGGCCGAGAUAUUGUGAUUUUUCUAUAUAUUGCCCUUUUGUAGUUCAACUUACAUUGUCGACGUUACUGAACUACCUUAGUUUUGGGAAGCACUUGUGCAUGUACAUAGCAAAUAGCUAAGCUUUGUUAAUUUAAAUAGAUCCAUUGAUUUUUCAUCUGUUGUUGUAGUGUUCUCAAGUAGGCGUUGCUUCUUGGUUCUUAUGCCAAUACUCCAAAAUGAUUUAUAUAAUUGAGUGUCCUGCCCUAUCAAGAGUGUUUCCAUCCAAUGUAGUGGGACAACUGAAUAAGCUUGAAGAGUUGAUAAUAGAAGAAUGUAAGUCAAUGGUGGAGAUAUUUGAAAGUAAAGAAAUAAACAAAGAUGGUGUUGAUAGUACUACGAAUGUUGGUGAUGGAAGUGAUGAUACUUGUACUGCAAUCACCCUCCCAAGGUCGACCAAUAUGACUCUGCUUCAAUUGCCCAACCUAACAAUAUUGUAUAUAUAUAAAUGUGAAGUAUUGGAAUAUAUAUUCACAAGUUCCACACUUGAAAGCCUCAAGCAACUCAAAGAACUGACUGUAAAACAAUGCAAGGCAAUGAAAGUGAUUGUGAAGGAAGACGGAGAUUUACCAGAACUCAAGGGUUUCUUCCCUCGUCUCAUGUCCCUUUUGCUGGCUGAUUUACCAGAUCUCAAGGGUUUCUUCUUGGGGGGUUUCAGGUCGGUUCAUAUAUAACCACUUCCCAUUUUUUGUAUGUAUAAAAAGUUACGAAAAUAUGCAAUUUUUUUUUAAUAUAAGUUAAUAUUUCAUUCCUAAGAUAUUAAGUGGUCUCUUAUGUUAUAAAAGAUGUUAUAUUCACUAAUUCAUAAGUUAGCAAUUUAAUAUUUUAAUCAAGUUAGAUGAAGUAAAGACAAAAGGCCCAAUUGACGCAUUCACUGAGGGUGGUUUUUUCCAUGUCCAAAGAUUUUUGAACAUAUACUAUACUAGUUUCCGUUUGAUCAGAAUCAGAUCAACAACCCCUUCUUCUUUACAGUGUCCCUAUUGUAACCACAAAAAUCAACAAAUACAGGGACCAAAUUUGCAGUUUUCGCUAAAACGUAUUUUAAUUUGACAAAAAAAUUGAUCGGUUUGUAGAAAAACAAAGUAUUCAAUUAAAGGAAUAACAAAAUAAGCACCUAAGAAAAAGUGCUUCUAAAAUUUACAAAAUAUUUACGUUCCUUAAAAAUACAAGACUUAAGAAUUUAUAUCAAAUAUAUGAACAUAAAAAAUUAUUUUCUUGUGUAUUACAAAUGAUACUUUUCAAGUUCAUUCUUAUUCAAAUCAUUUGUAAAUUUCAUAGAAUGUGAUCGUUUGGUACCUGACAUAAAUCAUUAAUUAGGAACUUAGAACUAACAUCUUCAUUCGGUUAAGAAAAGAAAACACAAAAUAGAUGGAAAUUAAAGCAUUGCCUUAUUUUACAUAUUUUCACUCAUAUCUGUUAACAAAUAGAUUUUUGUAUGGAAGUAUAUAUUGUAAUUAAAUCAUUUAUAUCGUUUCAUCCAAUUUAAUUCAGUUAUCUAACAUAUUUUACAAAUAUUGUGAUGUUAGUUGUUACUUAAUCAAGUUCUUUUCUCUCUCAUCUUUUACAAGCUAAACAUUUUUUUAGCGUUUAUUUCCUAAAAUUGACGAAAAUAGUAUAACUAAGAUGAUUCUAAAAGUGUAAGUAUAUCAUUUGUUGUAUUUGACAAUGCAAUAAAAAAUACAAUAACAUAAUUAUCUUUUUUCCUAAAAAAAUUGGAUGUAAAUAUCCGGUACAUGAAAAAUUACCCUUUUUGAAGUAGCCAAAACACUUAAAAGAGGUGACUUUGGGUGGAUUAAAUAAUUUGAAGCAUAUGUGGAAGAGCAAUCGGUGGAUAGUGUUGAACUUUCCAAACCUUACAAAGGUGUCGAUUUUUAGAUGUGACCUUCUUGGGCACGUGUUCACUUGUUGCAUGGUUGGUAGUCUAUUGCAUCUCCAAGAGCUAAAAAUAAGUUACUGCCAGAGUAUGAAUGUGAUUGUGAAGCAAGUUGAAGAUUCCGAGACCAGACCGACUACUGAGGUUGUGUUCCCUUGUCUGAAAUCCAUAAGACUUCACAACCUUCCAAAUCUCAUGGCAUUUUUCCUGGGGAAGGAGGCUUUUAAAUGGCCAUUAUUAGAUACUUUGGAAAUCAAAAAUUGUCCAAAAAUAACAGUUUUCACAAAUGGGCAAUCAACUACUCCAGAGCUGAAGUUAAUAGAUACAACUUUUGGAUUGUGUCAUGCAACGGAAGACCCAAACUCUUUUAUAAAGACCAAACAACAAGAGGUACGUGGUGUCUCCUUUGGUUAUUAUUAACAGAUUAAUAUGUUUGAUCGAACAAAACGUUUACUUUACUCUCGAAUUUACAACUUGUUGUAAUCUCCUAAAGGGAUGGGAGUUCUAGAGCAACAUCAAAUUUACACGUGUGGUUUGGUUCGUUUUGAAGUUAGCUAUAUAGCACAGGUAAGAUUACAUCGUACACUUAUUUCCUUCUUCCCAAUCAUGUACAUGUUUCUCCACCUUAGUUAUCUGAUCAUUGAAUUGACUUUUUGUCACAGUUGCUUGCUUACUACUCUUUCAUUUCGGGUUAUUGAACUUCUAUUUUCAAGUAAUCUUAUCUGUGAUGUGUCCACUUCUUGUAUUUAAUUAAGCUGUGACCAACUUAGCAAUAAUUACACAAGUUUUUAUUAAUUGGUCUGUACAUGUUCCACUAUUUUAAAUAGUAAAUAAAUUCAGUGGUUGAAGGUGCAUAGAAUGAUAAUCCAUCAUACAUGAAACUUUCUUAGCUCACACCAGGUAAGAAAGAAAAAAAAAUGAAGCUAAUUUGCUAGAACAUAAAACUUCUCUUAAUUCGACAGAUCUGUGCUCUUAAUUUUUAUGAACGCCCGGUGUUUGAUAAAAUUCUUCAAUGAAAAAAGACCCAUAAACUUUUGGCUCCUUUUUUAAGUCAAGUGUAUUAAUGUUUGUUUUGUAUAUGAGCACUUAAAUUUUGAGGAAGCGACUCCAUUUCUCUCUUGUAAGUUGAGUGUGUCAGUGUCACCCAUAUAAAAGCUUUGUUUUUCAAUCUCUGAAAUAAAAAGAAUAAAAUUUGGUUACAAAUAUCUUAUGUUCAGUGCCGGUUUCCAUCGCCAGCUUCAAUGAAUCUAUCUCAUGAUGAUUUUGAAUUAACAAUUGUUCACUAAACCUAGAUAAGUUACAAUUAUGCCCAUGACUAUGAGCCAUCCAUUGAUUAUUUUAAACCUAUUGAGAAACAGAACACUUAUGCAUAUUAUCUGAUUUUUGAUGCAUCUGAGGUUUAACAUUUUUUUUUAUAAUCAAAUUUAGGUUGAUAUUGGAGUUGCCAUUUAUAAUCAAAUUUAGUUUGAUAUUGGUUGGUUGUUUGUGGAAUUCAUAUGUUUAUGGAAUUCAGUGUUAAAAGUAUAAAUCAACAAAAAUAGAGAAAAUCACGCUCAGAUUCUGAAAAUGCCACUUAAGUAGAAAUUAUUUGAAGAAAAAACAUUAUAUUUUCAUUCAUUGUUUAAUUUAUCUCUUUGUGCAUGUUUUUGUUGACAUACCAUUGUACCAUAUGAUAACAUGAAUUUUUUUUUAUGUGGUGGCUGGUUUAGUUGGAUUAAAAGACAUUACCUGUUAAGUUGAUUUUAUGUGGUGGCGGGCUUAGUUAGAAAUAUUUUAUGAAAAACACAUUAUAUUUCCAUUUCUUCAGCAUCUUCAAACCUUUGGUCAUUUCUUUGAAGUUGCAUAAUGAUCAAUGUUGCAUACUUUAUGUCAGUCGUAUAAAUUUGUAUUGAAAGUGAAACACUGUUGCAGAAUUUGUCUAAAAAAAAAAUUGGUGCAUAAACUGGUCCUAGAAUGAAACAUAGUUGAAUAAUGCAUAUUAUGUCUAAAAAAAUAUUUUGUUGCAUAAAUUGACUAACAUGUGCAAUCAAUGUACGUGGCUUAAACAUGUUAAACCAUAUGGUUAAAAAUGUAAUUCAUUCACUUUUCUUAGAAGCAUAUGGUUCCUAGUACAAAUAGAAUCCUAAUAGACAGAUGAAAAUAAAAUCAUAUUCCUAACCAUCAAACGGCUCCUAGGUGAUUACUUCUUCCCUUUGCUCGACUCAAACGGCUCUAGCUUCGGCCGCAAAGAGUUGACGUUUGAGAUUGGCUAUUUCUUUCUCAAGAGAGUGUAUGUAGUCUGUAUCACUUUCCUCAAUAGUGUAUGAGUCUGAUAGGGCUUCCGAUGGGUGGGGCUUACUAGGUGUAUCCUUAACGUCCUUUCCUUCAUCUGACUCCUGGUUAGAUUCGUCAUAUUUGUAAUCAGUUACCACGUACUCUUCCGGUUCCACUCUGGGUCCCACCUCCCAUUGCAGGGCCUCCUUCAGGGUUUUCUUCAGGAUUGUCAUCUAGACCCACAUCAAUCUCCCUAUAGACUACUAGAGCUUGAUAGUAGGGGUCGUCUUGCUGCAUUCCUGCCAUAUUGCCCGCAUGGGAAGUAUAGGUGUGAAAAGUGUGUGCAUUGGGGUGUAUAAGGAUAAUAUUCUUAAAAUAUUCCUACAAUGUUUAUUUUUCUUAAGUUUAGUUCCUCUAACCUAUUUGGAUAGUUAGAUGGUAAGCUUUCGGUUUAUUGACCAUCACGAUUAUUCCCAAACAUAUGUUGAUCGUACUUUGAAUGAAUGUAGUUAAUCAGGCUACAUUGAUCCCCAAUGCGAUUACAUAACUGCCCAUGUUAAAUCGCAAUGUUCAAAUCCCCCAAAGACUUUUAUUGUUUAGUAUCAUGCUAUUAUUCUAAAACACGCACAUAGGUAAGUAUUUUAUUUACUCUGUUCAGAGUUAUUUAGCCCCAUUAUGUUUAUAGUUGCAUAUCAUGUAUGCUUAGAUAUGUUAGUUCACUAUAAACAAAGCUCUGAUACCAACCUGUCACACCCCUGAACCAGACGACGGAAACGUCCGGGGGUCGUGUGACUUGAAUUGAAAUAUUAUCACAAUGAAUAUACAAGAAACAUAACAUAAACAUGACCAUGCAGUAAUACAUUACAACUGACCUUGUUCACAUCAAGUACAUUGUUUACAUUACAAUAUCACAGAGCAUAAAUUGUUUAACGAUUGACAUUUGCACAAAAGAAAUUUCAGAAACACGCUUGAUGAUUCUUCAUUCUAACGGUUACCUGAGAAUACAAGUUAUUUUGAAAACGGUCAACAUAUAUAAUGUUGGUGAGUUCAUAAACAUGUUUGAUAUAAAAAUAGUUUGUAUUUUUUGUAAAACCCAGAAAAUCUGAUAUUUCCUGUAACAAAACUGUUUACGAAAAAGAUGUGAUGAUCUCAUAAGUGUAUAUGUAUGUGAUUUCAAAACAUGUAAAAAUGAAUGUCUUUCAUAAUUGUUCCUUGUAUUGUACUUGUAUGUAGAAGUGAAUAAUGUCGUUCCCCGGAAAACCCGAUGUUUCCCAAUUUAAAUAGUAUGAUAGUUUUGUAUUAUUGUAUAAAUCACUUUGCAUCGUCACAGUGUAUGAAUAUGAUUUCCCAUGAGUACUUAAAUGGUAAUGGAUCUCUAUGUGAGUCGUUAUAACCAUACAUAAUAGUGACUAAUUCGUCUGUCUUGGCAUUUUUCCUAACGCCGGGUUUGAUCAAGAUUUUGUCACCCUAGACUGGCCGAGUCUAACUGUAGCGAACAACUUAGGUGUGGAGGAGUCACCCCUGUAUAGAUCUAUAGACAAACUCUCGCUCUCCCUCCAGAAGACUCUGAUUACAGGCUACGACCGACUCUUAUUGGUGCAACCCGUUAUUUCUCACUAAAUCCCAUGAAAUUGAAUAACCUUGUUUUACAAUCCGAAUGAUGUUUACGUGAAUAUGAAGUAAGCCUAACAGUCAUGAAAGAGGACAACGGUGGCCCACUAAUCAUGUAUGUUAUUAUAGGUUGUCGAGUAUGCGACGGACAUGUUAGCUCAUCAUGCAUAUGAUUGAUUUGGACCAUACUAGCAAUGCAACUGGGCCAUUAAGGCCCAAUAACAUGUAAAAGCCAUUGAUGGUCCAUUAGGCAUGUAAUUGGGUCACUGGAAUCCCAAUAAACAUGUAUUAUUUAUGUUGUUUACCCAUUUUGUAUGUUAAUAGUGUCGUAAGAUUUGUUUCACACGAAGCUUUUAAUCGUAAAGUUAUAACAUUCGUCAAUCGUUUUAUAACAAUAUUCUAAAUUUAUAAAAGCAUGCAUUUUUAAAUCCAUAAGAUAUAAAAUUUUAUAUUUUUGGCUCAAUUGUUUUAAUAAGAGCAUAUUUGACCCGAAAAUAUUUGUUUGACCAAUUCAGCUCAAUUUUCACAUAAUAUUACGAUUUCAGCCCUUUUUAACAAAAAUGACAUUUUUAGUCAUUUUUAAUGAAAAAUGACAUUUUAGGUUCUUAAAUUAUUUUUCUUGACAUUUUCGACCCAAAAACUAAUUAAAUAGUAAUUUCAGACCAGAAUAUAAUCACUGGGCAGUUUCAGCCCCUUAUUUGGAAAAUUUUGCAUUUAUGGUCCAAAUUUCCGCAAAUUUCACAAUCUUGGCCCAAAAUCCAAAAACUUUGCAUUUUUAGUCCAAUUUGGCAAUAAAAUCAUUUUCAACCCCCUGAAAUUUAGUUAUUUAUGUUUUAGACUCAUACUUUUAUGAAUUUACAAUUUCAGUCCCUAAAACUCUUCAUUUUCGCAAGUUUGGGCCCAAAGAUCCGUGAGGCCCAAAUAUAAGCCCAUUAAGUAGAAUUUUAUAUUUUUGGUCCUUUGAAAAGUAUUAUUUUCAUAAAAAUCAGCUUUUAAAUAAAUAAAUACUUUAUAACCCUCAUAAAACCAAAAAUUAUCAACUUUCAACCCAAUCUUUAUUAUUUUUGCAAAAAUGACACUUGUAAAGAUCUUUGGCUUUGUUUUUCACUUAUUAAACUUAAGGACUCUUAGAUCUAUGAUGUAUGUUGUUUAUUAUUUUUUGUUUAUGAAUAUUUCACAUUUUAGCUAUAGAUCCCAAAAUAUCUUAAGUAUUAACACAUUAUCACAACAAAAACCAAAGAAAUCAAAUAUAACAUGCAAACACACAUAGAUCAACACAUAACACUUGUAGUCUCCCCCCAAAAACAAGUAAAAACUGAAAACAAUGGGGUAUGAACUCACCUUGCUUAGUUUCUCACGGUUUUGAAGAAGAAAUGGAAGAGGUUGAUGUGAUUUUCGGCCCUAGUAAGCUUCUUGAGAGGACUUUGGUUUAGAUGGAUUCUAAGGAGUAGAUCACGAAUUUUGCAUGAAUUAGGAGGAGAUAUUUUGAUGUAAUAAAGAAACUAAGCCAUGGAUCUAAGUAACAACUUAGCAAGGAUGAUGAUUUUUAUGGAAAAACCUUCUUGAAAUGCCCUAGAUCUCGAAAUUUUUGAGAGGAAAUGAGGGGUUGUUGUUUUGAGUGUUUGAGAGAAAAUUCAAGUGAGGUGUGUGUGUGUUUUUCUUGUCUCUCGGCCGAAGGAAAGAAAAAGGGAAGAGGGAAAGAAAGAAUGGCAUGGAAACAUGAGAUCAUGCAUAGUUACAUGUUGUGUAAUAUGCUUAGAUGACCACUAAACAAUAAUGAGGUGGCUAGCACUCAUUAAUCUUCUUAGUUUCUCCUUUUUUGUAUUGGGCCGAAAUGGGCUAAAGAAAGAGGAAAGGAAUCACUUUGGCCCAUUCUUGGUCUUGCUCGAAAGUGUGAAGUCUCUAUACAAGUUUUCGGCCCAUUGGGCCUUUAGGGUAGUUCAUGGCCCAAUGAAAUCCAAUUAGAGAGGGUUUACGGUCCAAUAAGGAAUUUAAUUCACUUAUGGCCCAAUAAGGCCCAUUAGUGUAAAAUGAUCCAUUUUAGACCCAUAAGGCCCAAAAGGUUAAGUUUCAUGAAAGUGGGUCCAAUUAGGGCCUAUUUAAGGGUUCCAAGCCCAAAGUAGUCAAAUUGGAAGCUUAUUGGUCCAUUAGGCCCAAUAAGGAAAUCCUAGUCCAUAAUGGACUUAGGUCGUGAUUCUUAGGGUUUUCAAACCCUAACUUGACUUUGUAAUGUUUUGCAUGAUGUUUGGGCUUUAUAGUUGGAUUUUUAUGAAAGUUUGUUGUUAUUGAAUAACAUCAUAUGCAUAUCAAGUUAUGGUUACAAUUUGUUGUCAUUGAUAUUGUUUACAAAAGUAUAGAAUUUCCUAGCAAAUUUGCUAGUUGUGACAGAUACGACCCGUAUGGGUCGAUUUGGUCAAGUCUACCGACGCAGGAGAUAAGUUCUAGAUUGAUGUGGGAAUAAGUUUUAAUAUUCCUUUAGGAUUCAAGUUUCCUUUUUUACAGUUUCUUUUUAUUAAUGUAUUAGUUUUGGAUAUUGAUUAGGUUUUUUGUUAUUAAGGAUUUUUUUAGGUUUAGCUGGACAUUAUAAAUAAAGCACCUUAGGAACACAUUUUUCUUUAUGCAUGGAAUAAAAGUCUUUGACUGUUUUUUUCGUAGAAUUCCUUGUUUCUCGAAUCACAGGCGGGUCGACUAAGGUUCUUACCUUUGGGAAGUAUCUUAAUCUUAUUAAAGAUCUAUGUCAGAUGCUGUUAUUUCACCACCUGAAAUAUUAACAAAAAAAAUAAUAAAAAAGUUUCCAAUUACAACUAAAAAGUUUCACUGCCCCUCUCCCAAAACAGAAUCUAGACCUCAGGUAGCAAUGCGAGUGAAAAGAGUGACAACAAUACUAGUAUAACUUACACCGACUCCAAAGGUGAUUUGGAGACACAAAAUAGGUAUUUUAAACUUCUUUCAAUCAUUGAAUUAAAAAGAGUUAGUCACAAGAAUUGUCCUUGUGUUAUACCCAAAGUUGCAUAUUCAAUCCAACUUUUUUUUUUUUUUUUUUUUUUUCUGUUUCAUUUUGGUCCCUAACAUUGGUUUUUGUUUCUGAUUUAUCACUGGUCCUGUAAAAUGACAUGUAACAAUAGUUUAAAAAUAAACAAAUUAUAGAAAAUUUUACAUUUUUGUUCCUCGAGUAUGGCUGCUUUUUGCAAUUUUGGUCCUAAAAUGUUUUCUUUUGCAUUUUUGGUCCUUAUUUGACAUUCGUGUAAUGGUUUUGGUCCCGGUUCCAAAUUAAGUGACAAUUUUUUCUCUAUGGGUGUGAUUUUGCAAUUUCGAUCCCAAAAAUAGCCAUUUUACUAGGAACAAGGGCAAAAAACGUUAUAAAAAUCUUAAAUAAGGACCAAAUUAGCAUGACACCCUUUUGGGACCAAAAUUAAAAACAUCAACUAUACUCAGGGACCAAAAAUGCAAUGUACUUUAAAAAGAAACAUAUGAGGGUAGAAAAUUCAUUUUAUUGUAGAAGUUGAACUAAACCUGAAAUGUUGGGAAUAACAUAGAGACCAUUCUUGUAAUUACUCUAAAAAGAAUAGAAGUUGGUAACAAAUGUCUGCCUUAUGAUGGGUGCAAUCUUUCAUCGCCACCAUUAUGACGUUUUGGACUUUACCAUUGUUCAUGAAACCCCGAGAAAUGACUAUAAUGCCCUUGAUCAUGAGCCACCCAUUCUGAAGGAGACACCAAUCAAGAGCAGUUACCCUGCUACUCUUGAAUCUGUCUCUGAGUCAACCAUAAUCUAAUCAAAGUUUCCCACUCGUUCCUUUUCUUCCCCUUGUUCCACAUCAGCUUCUGAAUGCAUGAACACAACAACACCGCCUAAAUAACAACAAAUCCCUCAAAACAAUUCACAUAUAGAUUCAAGUGUCAAUUCCCAUUUUCAUAAAAGAAGAAAGUCUUCAGCUUUUGCAUCAGUCAAGAUGGCCCACUUUGAUUCCCCUGACCCUAAAACCAAAUUUCCAGUGAAAGAAACCAUGAAUCUUGGUGAUGAAACCAAGAAUGAUCUAAAAAUAUCGUGUUCACUAUGUGAAAAACCCACUGGGUCUUGCGGAAAAUGACUAUUAUGUCCCUUGUUCUUUGAUGUCGUUAUCAAAGGUGCAGUUGUUGUCAAGCUGGAAAGGGAGAGAAAAGGGUCUCACAAGUGUAGUUGUUGUGGUGUCUGACAUUGCAUGUGUUGAUGGGAGAAUUUGGAAAAGAAGUGGUGAUGAAGGAAUUUGGAGCAAAGAAGAUGGUUGUUUAUUUAGUACGGCUUUCUACCCUUUCUGUAGUGAUCAAGUCAAUUGCCUUGGGUUACAUGUUGUGGCAACUGAUUCCUCUAAUGUGCAGCUUUUAAACACGGUAUCAUAUCAAUUCAUACUAUUAUAAUAUCUUGUCGCAUAUCCAACUGAUAAUUAUUGAGGGCAUAUUGGUCAUUUUGUUGAUUUAUGUUUUGGGAGUUGGGAGUUGGGAUGUGAUGAAUAUGAUCACAAAAUAUCUUUGAUCCUUCAGAGAUAUACAACCAACUUAUAUAACUUUUCUAUAUGCAGGUGCUCUUUUAUUCUGAAAGACUAGAAAUCCAACAUAUCGAUACAUCAACAACAAAUAACCUAAUUUUGCAUACGUUUCAAAUCGAAAGUGACUCCCUAAAAACAUUUGCAACUUUUGUCUUAUUAAAUCAGGCACACAGUCCCAGUCCAAUACAUACCAAAUGCAAUACAACCUGUUUUUUCAUAUACCGUCAUGUGUAACAAAGGAUUUUAAUUGAAGGAAGUCUCACCUUCUAGUGUUACAAGUUUGAGUAAAGGCGUCUCACAAAAUCCGUUUGAGAAAUUUGCCUACACAUCUCCACAAACCAACUCGAUGGGCUGGAGAACCACAAUAUCUAAGGUCAAAAAUCUCUAAUAUCUUGUUAUUUAUAGAUUCAUUAAACGUAUUUUAAAUUCUAGUUAAAGUUAAACUAUGUUUGUUGAUCAUGCAUAUGAGAUUACCAAAGAAAGUCCAAGUAUCCACUACUGAAUAUUGAUGCCUAACCUUACAUGUAAAUUCUCAAUCAUUGCUAAAUUGGUUUUAAACCUAUUUGGGAAAUUUAGGAUCUAUGGUUAUUAUAUUAACUUCAUGAUACAUUUGAGGUGUAUGACCAAUAAAAUGUGACUAUUGUAGUUGUAACAUUCUUUAUGACCAGCCAUAGUUUUAAUUUUGUUGUUUAUAAUGUUGUUUUCCUGAUUUUGGACAUGUUAAAUAAUCAACUCUAAUACGUUUUAAUUAAAGAGAUAAUAUUUUGAUGUGGAAAGUUGGAAUGAUCAAAUGAUUAGUAUUUAGUAGGUUAAGUGUUUUUAAUGAUAAAUAAAAUAUUUUUUACUAUAAAAUAGCCAACAAGACCAUAAAAGUAAUAUUUUGCUAAACAUGAAAUUAUAUUUCACUAAUUCAACCAUUUAAACCCUCUUCCAAGAAAACCAAUGAGACCAUUAUGGACUAUGAAAAAGAGAAUACGGAAAUGAUAGAUGUUGAAAUGAUGAAAGAAAUAUCUUACUUAAAUUUGUAUCACUCUUUAUUGUCUAAUCAUUUCAUAUUUUCCUAUUUGUUUUUCAUUUUUCAUUAGGUUUCAUGAUUUUUGUAGAUGGUGGUUUCUGAUAGUGAGGUCACAGAUUAAAUUUAUGUAAAUUUGUGCGUUCAAAUGUUAAAGGUCAUUCGAACGUAUUUGCUAUUGAUAUUUGAUUAUUUUUACUAUUAUUAAUUUGGCUCAAACGGAAAAGGACAACUCUUUGCAGUUAGAUAAAAAAAAAAUUGUGAUCGAAUUUACUUUGACUGCAUUGGUAAAAUAUGAAACAAUUAAAGAAGUUUGCAAUCACGUGGACAUAUUGCAUACUCAAGUGGUACCGGUUAGAGUCAUAUAUUCAAACACUUCAAUCUAAUACCAUGAGGGGAUAAUGACUUGGGAGGGUAAUAAGGUUUCCAGCUUGUCCGUAUUAGGUCACUAAGGUUUUUUUUGUGCGUAUUAGACCAAUAUGGUUGUUAUUACCGUUUAGAAAUAGUCCUUUUACCGGUUUUAAUGGGUAAAAAGGACAAUUUCUAAACGGUAAUAGCAACCAUAUUGGUCUAAUACGCACAAAAAAACCUUAGUGACCUAAUACGGACAAACUGGAAACCUUAUUGCCCUCCUAAGUCAUUAACCCUAAUUAUUUAGAAAACAUGCUUACUAAUCAAUGUGACUGAUUUGUUUGACUGAAAAUUUUGCUUCCAUUUAAACUUAUCUCACAACCCUUCCAGAACUUCUACGUCCAGAAACUCAUAUGAUUGAUGAUCUUCAUUACAUAAAUAUGCAACAUUUUAUCAAUAACUUCUUUUUUGUCAUUUAAAUGUUUACAUGAACACAUCCAUAUGUACAAAAACAAAAUAUCACUUUGAUACCUACCAUCAAUGUCUACAUUUGAUAACGAAUGGAAAUGUAAAACCAACAGGGACUUGCAAAUGAUGCCUAUUAUCAAUUAUUUUAUAAAAAGCAAAACCACAACAUGAACUAAGAAAUUGAAGUUGCAAAAUUAAUCAAAAUCAGCACAUAAACAAACACAUACAGACUAUAUACAACACAUAACGGAAGUUUANCUUAAUGAUAGGAAAAGUAAAAAACUUAAAGGAGACUUUAUAGAAAGAAAGAUCACUCUUACUUGCCACAAAUGGUUGAAGACAUCAACAAGAAGAUCAAUCUGACCAUAGAAUCCACAUGUUGUCUGAUUAUGAAUUCAGUAGAUGAACUACUGAAACGUAAGAAUUGCAAUUCAACUCUAUUAGCAUUUGAAAAGGGAAUUAGGGUUAAAAAAAAAUUGGACCAUUUCUUGAUUUGUGUGUGUCAUCCUUGCGCAGGGGCCAUGCAAAUCUUCCAUGUAUCGUUCCAAUUUUAUUGGAUGUCCCCAAAGGGACGACUAUAGAUGAAGAGCUUCGCCAUAUAGAGGAGUAGCAGGUUAUAUGGGACGACGCGAGUUCUAAACGAAGUAGUUUACUAUUGAUGGUCAUAUAUUCUUAAUGUCUUUAAAAUUAGUGUUAAUGACUUAGGAGGGUAAUAAGGUUUUCAGUUUGUCCGUAUUGGGUUACUAAGGCUUUUUUUUUUGUGCGUAUUAGACCAAUAUGGUUGUUAUUACCGUUUAGAAAUAAUCCUUUUUACCCAUUAAAACCGGUAAAAGGACUAUUUGUAAACGGCAAUAACAACCAUAUUGGUCUAAUACGCACAAAAAAAACCUUAGUGACCUAAUACGGACAAACUGGAAACCUUAUUACCCUCCCAAGUCAUUAUCCCUACCAUGAGUGUCCAAAAUUUUUUCUCAUUAUUUUUUCUCAUUAUUUUAAACCAUUUAAUUUAAUAUGAUAUGGUUUUUUAAAACACAUGUUUUAGUUGUUAAAUUAAAUUAUUACGUAAGCUUUUUCAAAUAUUAGACCAACUAAUAAUCAUCCCACUAAAUACAAUUAUUUUGAAAUUUUUUACAAAUUCUCUUUUUCUUUUUUGCAAAGGGAUGCCCAAAAUUAGGGGUGAUAUAUAUGUGGUGUAAAUGAAAUAUCACAUAUUAGGGAAUAUGAUUUAUCAAGGUAAUUAACUUUUCGGUAUGUUCACAUCUGGGUAACUAUCUUUUUUUUGUACAUAUGUAGGUAACAAACUUUUUGGAAGUGUUCACAUAUGACCAUUAUGACCUGCUAUAGCAGGUUAAAUCCUAGAUGUGAACGCUUUCAACAAGUUUGUUACCUAGAUGUGUACAAAAAAAAUAGUUACCCAAAUAUGAACAAAACGAAAAGUAAAAAUUAAAUUACAUGAAUGGUCCCUGUGGUUUGGGGAAUUUGUGGUUUUGGUCGCUAACUUAUUUUUUUUUAACUGAAAUGGUCCCUACUGUUUAUUUUUGUUGCGCGUUUGGUCCCCAUCUUACCUAAAAAUACUAUUGUGCCCUUAUUAAUUUAUUUUUUUAAUUAAUAUUCUUAUCUAUGUAUUUAUUUUUUACAUAUUCAAAAAAAUUAAUAGACCACACAUAUUUGUAUCUCCUCCCCAUUAUCUAUUUCUUUUCCAUCUUUAGUAACAUCGAUGUCUUCACCGUCCUUUUUUUUUGGUACUUCAACUCUGGCGAACCAACACCAUAACCUACUGUCUCUUCAUCUUUAGUGGGUUGUGGUGCUGAUUCGACGGAGUUGAAGGACCGAAAAAAGAAGUGAUGAUGAAGACGUCGAUAUCACUAAAGAUGAAAAAUAAAUAGAAGUUGAGAAGGAUGAAAGAUGGGAUGGUGAUGAGAUACAGAUAUGUGAGGUCUACUAAUUUUUCUUAAACAUAUAAAGCAUAAGUACAUAAACAAGAAAAUUAAUUAAAAAAAAUACCAAGGCAACAAUAGUCUUUUUAGGUAAGACAGAGACCAAGUUCAUAACAAAAUUAAAUAGUAGGGACCAUCCGAGUUAAAAAAUUAAAUUAAUUAAAAAAUAAAUAGUGGGGAUCAUCCGAGGAGAUACAAAUAUGUGUGGUUUUUUUUUUUUUUUUUAAAUAUGUAAAAAAUAAAUACAUAGAUAAGAAAAUAAAUUAAAAAAAUAAAUUAAUAAGGGCACAAAAGUAUUUUUAGGUAAAACGGUGAUCAAACACGCAACAAAAGUAAACAGUAGGGACCAUUUAAGUUAAAAAAAAAUAAGUUAGCGACCAAAACCACAAAUUCCCCCAAACCACAGGGACCAUUCAUGUAAUUUAAUUUUUACUUUUCGUUUGUUCAUAUUUGGGUAACUAUUUUUUUUUGUACACAUCUAGGUAACAAACUUAUUGAAAACGUUCACAUCUAGGAUUUAACCUGCUAUAACAGGUCAUAAUGGUCAUAUGUGAACACUUCCAAAAAGUUUGUUACCUACAUAUGUACAAAAAAAAGAUAGUUACCCAGAUGUGAACAUACCGAGAAGUUAAUUACCUUGAUAAGUCAUAUUCCCAACAUAUUAAGGUGGGGUAGGGAUCCGACAUUGUAUCGUGCUUCAAUAGAAACCGGUGGGACCUUUGACUGUUAGUGUAUUACUUGUGCUAUACUCUGUAGUAUGUUAGGCAAUGCUCUUAGUACCUAGAUUAUGACUGUUGACUGCAUUAUUUCCAUCCAUCCAAUACCAUGGUAUUUGCAGGUCAACAGCAAUAAUUGAGGCUUGUUCAUACUUCAAUAUAUUGGCCUUCUUCUUCACAAUUCCAACCAGUUGUACACAUACGCACUUUACAAAGCAGCAAAAACAGCAAGCAUUAGCACAGGCGCAUAUAGUAGAAGAGGUAUGUUUUUGUUGAAAGUUUUUCUCUUUGUUUAUGAAUAAUUUUUCUUAGUUGUUUUUUGUUUUCAAUCUAUCGAAUAUCGAUCCUUGACGAAAUUAUCUGAAAAAAAAUGUUUUGCGUUGUUACUUGUGGAUUGUUCGUGUAUGCUCCACAUAUAAAAUCAAGUAAACGUUUAAAUGAAUGACAGUGCCUCCUCAUUUCCCUCUUUUGAUUAUUGAACAAUGUUUUGGGGGAAUGUUUUUUUUAGGACAGAUGCUUCCACGUAGAGAUCAGUUCUAGCCCUAAUAUCACUGUAGGACUCUGUUUACAACUAAUAAACCCCUAAUUAAAAGGCACGGUAUUUUGUUCCUCAUCUCUCACAAUCUAUUCCCACUUUCAAUAAGAUGUUGAAAUUAACAAUCUAUUCCCACUUUCAAUCAUUUCAAAGAAAACCAAGGUUAAGUUGACAAGGGAAGACAAACAGCAAAAUUAACUAUGAAUUUACAUACACAUUAAUUUACCAACUAUCAAUUCUAUUCUAGCCAAACUUAUUAUGUGUCCUGAAUCCUGAAGGAAACUUUUUAUAACACUAAUUAUCUAUGGAUUGUAUAUGAUAAUUGAAAAAAGAUAGCUAAGCAAGUUAAUAAGUAAUAAGUUUUAACAAUUUCAUUGCCUUUUUUAUCUGUUACAGGUCUCUGUAAAAGCUAGAAUAUUGAAAGAUGGAGCUUGUAUCUGCAAUCAUUAGUCCUAUUGUUGAAUCUUUAAUUGCUCCUGUCAAGAAACAACUGGGAUAUCUCUUUUCAUCCACGAAUCAUGUUAGGAACAUGAAUACUAAAAUAAAGCUACUGGAUGAUACAAGCCGUGAUGUCAAAAAACACAUGGAAACAAACAAUAGAAGUAAUCUGGAGAUACCUACUCAUGUAACGGGGUGGUUGGAAGAAGUUGAAAAGACUAAAGAAAAAGCUCAAAGCAUUCCAAGUAUUGGGAGCGGAUGUUGUAACUUGAAAAUGAGGUAUCUAGUUGGAAAGAAGGCAUUCAAGACUACGGAGGAGAUGGAAAGUCUUAUUGAUGAAAAUAGUAAGAUAAUUUGGACAAAUGCUCAAAGACCUCUUGGGAAAGUGAACUCAGAAAUCGCAUCCAGUUCUGCACCUUCGGAUGGUGAUGCCCAAAAUCACUUCAAAUCAAGAGAGAAGUCUUUUAAGAACGCCUUGGAGUCCCUCCAACAAGAUCACAAGAGCAAAGUGAUAGCCCUAUGUGGAAUGGGUGGUGUGGGGAAAACCACCAUGAUGGAGCAACUGAAAAAGGCUGCAGAAGAUAAGAAAAUGUUUGAUUAUGUUGUGAAGGUGGUUAUUGGGCAACAAAUUAACAUGCUUUCUAUUCAGCAAGAUGUGGCAGUGUAUAUGAUGGGCCAGUCCCUCAUUGAACUGAGUAAAGAAGCUAGAGCAGAUCGUCUUCGUAUAACAUUUGGAAACCUUCUAGAAGGUAGAAGAAAGGUUUUACUAAUACUAGAUGAUGUAUGGGAAACGAUUGACCUCAAAGAUAUUGGAUUGAGUCCUUUGCCCAACGGCUUCAAGUUGUUGCUGACAUCACGAAAUGAAAAUAUUUGCAAACAAAUUGCAGUAGAAGCCAAUUCGGAGUCAACACUAGUUCGAGUGGAUGUGAUGGAAGAGCCUGAAGCAUGUAGUUUCUUUUGGCAAAUUAUAGGUGUUUCAAAACAAUAUGAUAAGGAUCUCAAACAAAUAGGAAGUGAGAUCGUGAGAAGAUGUGGUUUUUUGCCCCUUGCCAUUAAACUCAUCGCCAAAACCCUUCAAUUUCAAGAAGUUUUUGUAUGGAGAGAUACUUUUCAACGGUUGAAGAAGAAGAAUCUUGAUGAGAAUGUGCAAGAAGUUAUUAAGAUAAGCUAUGAUUAUAUAAAAACAGAGGAGGAAAAGGUGAUUUUUCUUCUGUGUGGCUUGUUUCCUGAUGACUUUAAUAUCCCAAUUGAGGAACUCACAAGAUAUGCAUGGGGCCUACAGUUAUUAAGUGAAGUAUCCACUUUGGGAGAGGCUAGAGACAGGACAAAAAUGUGUGUGCAGAAUCUUAGAAAUGCAAAUUUGUUGAUGGAUAGCGAUUGCAUUGGGUGUGUCAAAAUGCAUGAUCUUGUGCUUGCUUUUGUCAUAAAUACAGUUUCUAAAGGUCAUCAUCCAUGGAUAAUCAACCAUGGUGAUAUUUCAAAGUGGAGUAGAGCUGAAGUGAGAGAGUCUUGCAAAAGACUUUCUAUUACUUGCACAGGAAUGUCUGAGUUUCCUGGUGACUCUAAGUACCCAAACCUAUCACUUUUGAGACUUAUGGAUGGAGAUAAGUCACUUAAGUUUCCUGAAGGUUUUUAUGAAAAAAUGGAAAAUCUUGAAGUUGUAGCAUAUGAAAAAAUGCAGUAUCCGUUGCUUCCCAGAUCACUUGAAUGCUCCACCAAGCUCCAAACACUCAUUCUCCAUCAAUGCCUAUUGAUGUUUGAUUUCUCUGUUAUUGGUGAACUCAUGAAUCUGGAAGUGCUCAGUUUUGCUCAUUGUGGCAUCAGAAAGUUACCAUCCACAAUUGGAAAUUUGAAGAAGCUAAAGCUAUUGGAUUUGACGGGGUGUGUAAAUCUUCGUAUUGAUGAUGGUGUAUUGUUAAAUUUGGUCAAGCUUGAAGAGCUUUAUAUGAGAGUUGAUGAUAGAAAGGCAAUUAGGUUCACAGACAGCAAUCGUGUUGAAUUAGCAGAGCUUUCAAAUCAUCUUUCUGCAUUAGAAGUUGAGUUCUUUGACAACAAUGGUACGCCCAAGAAUAUGCUGUUUACUGAACUUAAAAGGUUUAGAAUCUCUAUGGGAUGUGGUUUAGGAGACAAUACUCACAAAAAUAUGCACUCAUUUGAAAACACAUUGAGGUUGGUCACUAACAAAGAUGAGCUGUUGGAAUCUACAAUGAAUGAGUUGUUUGAGAAAACCGAGGUGCUUUAUUUGGAGGUGGAUGGUAUGAACGAUCUUGAAGAAGUUUUAAUGGAAUCAGUUCAUCUCCCUCAGCAAGCGUUUAAUAAUCUAAGAGUCCUUGAUGUGUUCAAGUGUGAAAACUUGAGGUACCUCUUCACAGUCCCUAUUGCAAAUGGUUUGGUGAAGCUUGAGCGCCUCACAGUUUCAGAGUGCUCUGUUCUUGAAGUACUUGCACAUGGUGAAAAUGGUGGAGCUGAGAAAAUUAAGUUUCAGGGGCUAAAGUUUCUAGGAUUGGAUAGGCUACCAAAGCUGAUAGGUCUUUGCAACACUGCUAAUGUAAUUGAGCUACCACAGCUGGUGGAGUUGGAACUUGAUGGCCUUCCUAACUUCAAUAGCAUUUAUCCAAAGAAAACAUCUGCAACAUCUUCUAUGUCCAGUAAUGACUCUGCAAUUCAACCAUUAUUUAACAAACAGGUACCUCUAUAUUAGGAUUUAUGUUGACAGUUUCAUAGAUUGACUUAUAAUCAACAAGUCUUAAUUGUUGUGCAGGUGCUGAUUCCUAAGUUGGAGAAAUUGAGGAUUUGGAGGAUGGAUAAGCUGAAAGAGAUAUGGCCUUAUCAAGUUAUAAGUAGCAAAGACGUUGAUGCCUGCGUGUUGAGAAAGAUUGAAGUGAGGGGAUGUGAUAAUCUUGUGAAUCUGUUUCCAACCAAUCCCAUGUCUUUGCUGGGUUGUCUGGAAGUGCUUGAUGUUUCUAAUUGUGGAAACAUUGAAGUGUUAUUUAACAUCGACAUGAGUUGUGUUGGUGAAAUUGAAGAACACAGUAGCAACUUGAGACAAAUUGAAGUAUCUAAUUUGGAGAAGCUAAGAGAGUUGUGGAGGAUGAAAGGUGAAAGUAGCUCUGAUAUCCUCAUCCGUACCUUUCAAGCUGUUGAAAGUAUAGAAAUAGAAGAGUGCAAGAGGUUUGUAAACGUAUUCACACCGACCGUCACCAAUUCUGAUGUGAAAACAGUUAUGAAUGUGAGUAUAGAUGGAAGGAGACCUUCUGAAGAAACCAGGAGCAACAUUGAAUUGGUUCAGAACAGCCAGGAGGUAUGUGAUGUCAUUGAGCUUUCAAUUUCUCUUUUGAUGUUAACAACUUAUGUAUAUGUGUCUCUAUACAUACAUACACGUAUAUAACAUAUCACACUACAACAAAUCAAUCAAUUCUACACAAUUCUUUCGAUGUGUUCUGCUAGAUUCUCACUCUUGAAUUUCAAUCACACAAGGAUGGAAAGGAGAAAUACAAGAAAUUAUAGAUCUCACACUGGAAAUUGAUGAUCUAAUGAUCAAUUUUACAUACAUGUGAUAGAAAUCUGGCGGUUUGAGUUGCCAAGAUCUCCCAAAGCGACUAAUCUCUAAAAUAAUUGAUAAGAUGUCUCUCCUAACUGAUCUCUUACAAUAUAAAGGCAUAACUGAAAUAGUUAAUUUACUUAUUUACCCGUGCUGCCCACAAUUGCUUACUCAUGGUUUAAAUCCUUUCUUGCCUCUUUGUGAAUAAGUAAGAAUUGGUUUAUUUCCCUUCUUGCCCCUCCUUGAAUAUGUGAACAUGAGUUAUAUUUAUUUGUAAUUAUAUUUGUUGUUGAGAUAUGUGCAGAUUAAUGUAAUAUCCAAGGAAGAGAUCAUUUCAGAGGUGGAUGGUAAUAUUCCUGACGUUGAAUCCUCAAUUCAUCCCAAACCUUUUAACGUUAAUCACCUUCAAGUACUUGGCUGUAAGGAUGUUGAAGUGGUGUUUGAGAUAGAGAGUUCCAGUAACAGCAACAGCACCACAGAUUUCACAACAAGUCUGCAUAAAUAUAAUCAUCAACCACCACCACUACUACUUCCCCACCUCAAGUCUUUAUAUUUAAUAAAUAUGGAGAGGAUGAGUGAUGUGUGGAAGUGCAAUUGGAAGAAACUUGUAAUUCAUCAAAACCAAUCACAAUCCUACUCAUUCCACAACCUCACAAUCAUACACAUGGAAAAGUGUCAUACCAUAAAGUACUUAUUUUCACCUGUCAUGGGCAAACUUCUUCCCAACUUAAAGGAUGUCUGGAUACAUGAGUGUGAUGGUAUUGAAGAAGUUGUUUCAAAUAGAGAUAUUAAUGAUGAAAAUGAAGAAAUAAUAUCUUCUACUCACACAAACACCAUCUCCUCCUUCCCUCUUCUUGAUUCUCUCUACCUUUUUAAUCUGCCAAGCCUAAAGAGUAUCGAUGGCGGUACUACAAUCACAACUACUUCCAUCCAUGAUCAGUUCCAGGUAUAUUUGAUUUCUUUUAAGCGAAUCCUUUACAUAUUUCAGUUAUUUGUUUUAUUUAAAUAUAUAUUUAUUUUUAAUAUUCUAUUUUCCAUUAGCUGCUUUAUAUAACUCCCUAAGCUAAUUCUUCUGAAGCUGGAAAGACAAAAAUAAAUAACUACAUGCAUAGUAUUUAAUAGUUUUUUCAUUUGCGUAGGUCAUUAAGUUGAUUUAGGAUAAGACCGGAUUGUCAGGGAGAGAAAAAAAUUGAUUGAUGGAUGUAUAUAAGUCAUAUGAAAAAUAGAAAAAAAAUGAUUUUAUUGAUGCUUUUUUUUGUUCUGUUUUUUUUUUUUUUUUUUUUUUUUUUUGUUUUGUUUUGUUUUGUUUCCUAGCAUGCUAGUUUGGCUUAGUAAAAUUCGGUUUGUUGUUUAAGAGAAAUAUCUUUUUUGCUGACAUUGAACAAAACAAUAUGAAACUUUAUGUAGCUGUAUCUAAUGUGCCAACUGAAAAUAUAUAAAUACAAUAUGUGACAAUAGGCUCCUGUUUACAAUUUCUUUUGUACCAGAAAAGUGUGCUAUUCAAAAUAUUAACUUUAAGACAUUGAACUAUUAUAGAGUCAAAUGUCAAUGUUGUCAAUUUUGGAAAUAUCUCUAGAUCUUAAUUUAUCAAGUAUAAUUAGCCAACUUUUUACUGAAAAGGACUCCCUUGAAAAAAAUCUUUGUUCUAAAAAUGCUUUCGAUCUAUUUAGCAUAUUAGAAUUAAGAUAGAUUUUAUAAAAAUACAAUUAAUGAAAAUUUAUAGAUGUAUAAUAAAUUAACAUGAAGAAGAUGAUGCAUGUAUAAUAAUUUAACCGUUCAUGUUAGUAAAAUUAUUUAAAACAUGAAGAAGAUGAUGCAUGUAAUCAAUGCAGGUAUGGAAAUAUAAGCAUAUUGAUUGCAAACUCAUUUCCUAAUAAUAAAUAAAUUUAGAAGUACAAUUAUGUUUUCAUUUUCUCACAUUGAGGGGGUAAUGGGUUAUAUAGUCCAAUGAUAUUUGUUUUCUCUUCAUAAAUCAUGGCACUAUAAUAAUUUUGAAUGGGGCCAUAUACAGAAAACCAUUAUAUUUUAGUCAUUUUUUUCUGUUCAACAUAUUUUCAUUUACUUUCUUAUUAUAGCAUCAUACUUUCAUUUCUUCCAGUUAUAGCAUCAUACUUUGAAAAAUAUACCCAAUUACACAUGGCUACAAUGGCUUGAUAAGAAAAGUUGAAAGUAGAAUGCUAUAAAUGGGUGGAUUUUGAAAGUACCUAUAUGCUGGUCUUGGGUCAUUUAUUAAAGGCUAAAAUGCUAGAAAUAGCAAUUUACUUUCAUCGAUUUGCUUAUCAGAGCAUCAUACUUUCUCUUUUUCCUAUUAAAGCAUUGUAGUUUAAGAAACCCACCCAAUUAUAGCAGUGUCAUCUAAAUACAAUGGAUUUCUGUUGCUGUAAUANNNNNNNNNNNNNNNNNNNNNNNNNNAGCAUAUUCAUAUAUAUAAAUAUAUAUAUAUAUAUAUAUAUAUAUAUAUAUAUAUAUAUGUUGAUUAAUUGCUAAUAAAAGUACUUCAAAGUCUGUUCAUUUUCAAGUUUUAAUUUGAAUAAAUGCUAAUUAAUUGUGUUAAUUAGCACCCUGGCAGUUUUGUUUUUUCUUGUUUCUAUUUUCUUUUUUGUAGCUGUUCAAAAUCUCCUGUAAGCCUAUAUAAUUAAGGCCCCUUUUAUGAUUGAUUUAGUGUACCUUUUCUUUCAUCCACCAUCUACUUGUUCUCUCUUGCCAACAAUAUAAAGCAUAGCAUACAACUGUUUUCUUGUUUUUCGUUAUUUGGCUAUACAUAUAACAAGGGUAUUUUGGUCAUUUGACAAACCGUCUUCCUUAAUGGAGUGGAGUCCAAACACCACAGUCUGAUUUCUCUUAAUUCAAAUUUUCACCAUAAAAUCCAACAUGAACUUUGUCUUUUAAACAAUUUGAAUCCUUCAAAAAUAGGCCCAGAUUUUGUGGCCUAGGUGGUCUUCUAUAAUAAACGAAUAAUUGGAAAUGCGGUGCUAUUUCUUGCAUUUAGCCCUUCUUCAAUACAAACAAGUAAAGUUCAUAGUUACAAAAUUUUGCAUAUUUUAUGGUUUAUAUUAUGCUUUUAUGUGUUUAUAGACGUGUUCCUGCAGACAUGUGUGAAAUAUAUAUGUUGAUUAAUUACUAAUCAAAGUACUUCAAAGUCUCUUCAGUUUCGAGUUUUAAUUUGAAUAAAUGCUAAUUAGUUGUGUUAAUUAGCACCCUGGCAGUUUUGUUUUUUCUUGUUUCUAUUUCCUUUUUUCUAGCUGUUCAUAUUCUCGUAUUAGCCUGUAUAAGGCCACUUUUAUGAUUGAUUUAGUGUACCUUUUCUUUCAUCCACCAUCUACUUGUUCUCUCUUGCCAACAAUAUAAGGCAUAGCAUACAACUGAUUUCUCGUUUUUAGUUAUUCGGUUAUAUAUAACAAGGGUAUUUUGGUCAUUUGACAAACCUUCUUCCUUAAUGGAGUGUCCAAAAACCACGAUCUGAUUUCUCUUAAUUCAUUUUUUCACCAUAAAAUCUAACAUGAACUUUGUCUUGUAAACCAUUUGAAUCUUUCACAUGUAGGCCCAGAUUUUGUGGCCUAGGUGGUCUUCUAUGUUUAUGCUGAUUCUGUGUCUUUCAGAAGUAUGCUUCUUAUGAUCCUUCCACUCUCUUCAUGUCGUUGAUUCUGUCUGUCACCAUCAGAACCUCAUAAAAGUUUCUGCUGAGGUGUCAUGCCAGUGGUGACCUGGAAUUUGUGAAAAGUCUAAUGCCAUUUAUUUUCUCUUCAUAAAUCAUGGCACUCUACUUCAGCUUGCCUUAUGAAAUCCACCCAAGUUUGGAGAAAU